rnacentral:rRNA from 1 species
ACGCAGGUGGCAAGCGUUGUCCGGAAUUAUUGGGCGUAAAGGGCGCGCAGGCGGGAAGAUAAGUCUGUCGUAAAAGAACAGGGCUUAACUCUGUUAAGCGAUGGAAACUGUCAUCCUUGAGUACAGGAGAGGAAAGUGGAAUUCCCAGUGGUGGGGGUGAAUGCGUUGGUAUUGGGGAGGACCCCCGGGGCGAAGGGGGGUUUCUGGGCUGGGUUCGGCGGUUGAGGGGCAAAAGCAGGGAAGGGAACGG